AUUGAACGCUGGCGGAAUGCUUUACACAUGCAAGUCGAACGGCAGCACGGGGGCAACCCUGGUGGCGAGUGGCGAACGGGUGAGUAAUACAUCGGAACGUGCCCAGUCGUGGGGGAUAACGUAGCGAAAGUUACGCUAAUACCGCAUACGGUCUACGGAUGAAAGCGGGGGACCGUAAGGCCUCGCGCGAUUGGAGCGGCCGAUGUCAGAUUAGGUAGUUGGUGAGGUAAAGGCUCACCAAGCCGACGAUCUGUAGCUGGUCUGAGAGGACGACCAGCCACACUGGGACUGAGACACGGCCCAGACUCCUACGGGAGGCAGCAGUGGGGAAUUUUGGACAAUGGGCGCAAGCCUGAUCCAGCCAUUCCGCGUGCAGGACGAAGGCCUUCGGGUUGUAAUCUGCUUUUGUACGGAACGAAAAGGCUCUGGUUAAUACCUGGGGCUCAUGACGGUACCGUAAGAAUAAGCACCGGCUAACUACGUGCCAGCAGCCGCAGUAA
rnacentral:rRNA from 1 species